GCAUAUCAAUAAUCGGAGGAAAAGAAACCAACAGGAUUGCCUCAAGUAACGGCGAGUGAAGCGGCAACAGCUCAAAUUUGAAAUCUGGCCUCUUUGGGGUCCGAGUUGUAAUUUGUAGAGGAUGUUUCGGGUACCGCCUCGGUUUAAAUUUCUUGGAACAGAAUGUCAGAGAGGGUGAGAAUCCCGUCUUGGACCGGCGGUAGGGCCCAUGUGAAACUCCUUCGACGAGUCGAGUUGUUUGGGAAUGCAGCUCAAAAUGGGUGGUAAAUUUCAUCUAAAGCUAAAUAUUGGCCAGAGACCGAUAGCGCACAAGUAGAGUGAUCGAAAGAUGAAAAGAACUUUGAAAAGAGAGUUAAACAGUAUGUGAAAUUGUUGAAAGGGAAGCGCUUGCAACCAGACUUGAGCGCGGCGGUUCCCCCUUCCUUUUGGUUGGGUUACUCCGCCGUGUCCAGGCCAACAUCGGUUCUGGGGGUCGGUUAAAGGCCCGGGGAAUGUACCUACGCCUUCGGGGGUAGACUUAUAGCCCCGGGUGUCAUGCGACCACCCGGGACCGAGGAACGCGCUUCGGCUCGGAUGUUGGCGUAAUGGUUGUCAG
rnacentral:rRNA from 1 species